GAGCGAACGUGAUUUUGACUGUGAUUUUCUGAUUUUGACGCUUAAAAACAACAAAAUCUCCUUUUGUCAAAACUGUUAGCAAUCCAGCGAAGAUCGAUCGAAAUUAAAUUGAAAUAAAUUCCUUACCAUAUAAGAAAACAAGAAAGAACAAAAAAAAAAAAAAAAAAGGAACAACAUUGACAAGUGCUUUGGCACCAUGGGCUGGCCGUUUAUGCGUUCGCUCGCUGGGCUCAUUUAAAGGAUUGCACAAUCCCGUCACUUUUAGUGUAAAUGCAUGCGCACAAACCUACACAUGCACCUUUAUAUGCAGAUUUAUUAAUCGGUGGUAACUGAAGGUUGCUGCCAGAGGUCACAGCGGUGGUAUGAGAAAUGCAAGACAUUUAUAAAUGCCGAUCGGUAGGAAGAUCUCUUGUAUAGAAAGUUUUAAAGUACGCUUUGUUGGAUAGUUUUAAACAAAACAAAAAAACGGUUAGAUUCGUGGUCAGAACACGCAGGGAGGUGAGAGCGAAUGGGAAAUAAGUAAACUUAAGCUUCAUAUAAAAUAAAAUUUAAAUUUAAAUUCUCGGGAAGACAACGGCAAAUUAAAAAGUGUACAAAAGGCCACACCCACAACAAUGGAAUGGGAAAUUCUGCUGCUGUUGUACAACUUUCCGAUAAAACUGUAAUACGUGAAGUCAGAUCAGCCGCCCGAAUUUUCUGAGACGCACAAAUAUAUGCGAACGGUACAUAGUGUCUCUGUGUAAGUGAAGUUCGUUUAACCCGAAAGUAAUGCACCUUCGAAUUUAAACUAAGAAAGAGCAUAUGCCAAGCACACCGUCUAAGCAGUCCAGAAUGCUUACCUUACGGUUUUUCUUUUCUCAGCGAGCACUAUAGCCCGAUGCUAGCUAACUAAUUGCUUAUCUUAUUUGGGUCCUUCCAGCAAAGUCUUUUAUGCAUUGUACAAAACAAGCUUCAUUUAGUUGCUUAAUCAGAUUCUAAAUAAAGCAGUCCCUGCGGGAGAUAAGAGGUAGCUUUCUUCCUUCCUUUAAAUAUUAGGGGACGUUUUAGAAAAAGGCUUAAUUGAGGACGUUCAAAUAUUUCAACGGUUCAAAAGUUCAAUGCAGAGCAGAAGACAUGCAGAUUAAAAUUUGAAACUUGAAACUUCAAACGCAUAUUUCUGCACGCCGCGCACUUCGAGUUGAGCAUAUUACAAGUACAGCACUUUUAAUUUUGAUGCGAUUGCCUCGAAAUUGUAUUGUUGUGAACAGCGGUAGGAUAUUUGAUAUAAAUCAAUAUUCCUAGAUUUCGAGAUGGCCGAUUUUCGAAGGACUCUUAAAAAAAAAAUUCUUAGAUUCUGGCUCAUAUUUUCACUUUUCUUGCUUUACUAUUGUGACCUGUAGAGUAAAUGGAAGGAGAGCUUUUCCUAGAAUUGCAGGAACUUAUGCACUGAACAGAUAAAAACCAACGGUUUUUUUUUUUAUUACUUAUCUAUUAUCCUUGUCAGAAUUGUAAGUUUCAUUCUAAUUUGUUUUUUCUAUUCUUGUAACACGAUGGCUGUGAGAAAGAAGAGAAGAAAAGAAAGAGAUAGGGACGGAAAUGGCGGCAGCCUAGUAGAUUUGUGCUCAAUCGAUAAUGCCUUUACCGACUAAGCACGCGCCAUACAUGUGAAUCCAAAGAAAACACUUUAGGUUUGAAUGCGCGGGCACUGACUUCGUAGUCGCGGCUCUCAGCUACUCAGCUGCUCAGGCAGAUGGCUUUAAGAAGAAAACAGAAGUUUUCGUCUCGGGUGGGCUGCCGAUCGGUAAUCCCCAUCAUUUCAAGUAUAUACGAUAAAUGUCGUAGAAAUCUUCGUUGACCGUAAACGUGAGGUUACAGUCGUAAUAGCUAUUAGUGAAUUUCUGACUGAAGUAACAGUUAUGUGUGGACCGGGACAACUGUGGAGGAGGGGUCAAGUUUGUUUAUUUGCGGAAUGCAAGUAAGUUUGUCGAACUUUUAAUUGUAAUUCUUGCGACUUUGACAAUUUCACACACCAGAACGUACAAAUUGUCUGCUGACCGAAUGUAUAUACGACGUAUAUAUAUGUUAUCAAUUUUGCUCGUUUCAAAAUAAUUCCCCUGGGAUAUAAUAGAUUUGUGGCAGUGCUUGCUCCAAUGCUCGAAGCAGUCCUGGUAUGCGCUUUUUGACAUGUCCUUGAACUCUUUCAGCGAUUCUGUUUUUAUCUGCUUACUUGUGGCAAAAAACCGACCUUUCAUGGAUUUUUUCAGUUUUGGAGCAAGCAAAAGUCGUGGGGGACCAAACGCAAUAACUACGUUAGCUGACGCACGGUUACGGUGUCGUUUUCGCCGAAAAAAUUACGAACAAGCAAUGGUGGGCUGGCGCGUUGUUGUGGAGCAACAUCGGUUACGUUUUAUGACCACAACAUCCGCAAAAAUUACAUGGCGUGAGCCAGACGAUGAUAGGCCAGUAAUCGUAGCAACCUCGCUAAUAUGUAUUCAACGAUUCCCCAUAACUGUUUGCUUCACUGCUUCAACGGUUUCUUCGCAAGUCAGAAAACUGUGGACCAUAAAAACUUUCUCAUGACAGCCAACGUUCUCCUUCUACGAGAUAGAAAAAAAGUACAUUGCCGCUCCGCAGCAUUUCCGCUUAGAGCAUUUAGUUUGGCGCGACAAUCUUCUAAAAUAUUUACUUCACAUCUACCUCAAGAGCAGUUUUCAAUAUAUUUCUUAUAUUGCCUUUAUAUUGACUUAUUAUUGAAAUCAGUAAUUAGUGAUCGGUGGAGACGAGGUAUUUUUUCCAUAGAUAUUUAAAAAUCAUAUUUUUGCCCUAAAUUUAUGUUAAUCAACCUUAGCGUGAUUGGCAUUAGUCAUGGAAUUAAUUGUUACUUUAUUAUUUAUUAUUAUUAUUCUGGAUUCUUUAAUAAAAAAAAUUGCUUUGAUCCUCAAUAAGUAGUUGAAGGUCAGCGAGGAGAGAGCGUCUUCAGCAUAAAGGAAUCGCACGAUUAGAAAUGCAAUAUUGAAAAAUCACCUUUUAUGGAAGCAUUAUAUACACACGUCUAGAUAUGUUUAUUAUGCCUCACUUGUUACUGUUAUUAAACGUUUGGCGAAAUUUUCUCAAGUCUCUAUAAAAUUUCGGGACUAUUAAGCAUUUAAAAAGUGCAUUCUGGAUACGUUAGUUCAAUAAAAUUGCAUAACUAAGCUGUUUUUGUUAAAACACUUCCUUCUGCUGAUUAAGUGCUUAAUUCAAUUCAAACACAUUUAUGUAUAGUUAAUAUUGACAUUUUUAAGAUUUUCUUG